AUCGCUUCUCGGCCUUUUGGCUAAGAUCAAGUGUAGUAUCCUUCCUUCCUUCCUUUUUUUCUUUCUUUUUUUUUUUUUUUCAGACAGGGUUUCUCUUUUUAUCCCUGGCUGUCCUGAAACUCAUUCUGUAGACCAGGCUGACCUUGAACUCAGAGAUCACCUGCCACUAUCUUCUGAGUGCUGGGAUUAAAGGAUUAUAU